GAUGAAGAACGCAGCGAAAUGCGAUAAGUAAUGUGAAUUGCAGAAUUCAGUGAAUCAUCGAAUCUUUGAACGCACCUUGCGCUCUUUGGUAUUCCGAAGAGCAUGCCUGUUUGAGUGUCAUGAAAAUAUCAACCUUGACUUGGGUUUUGUGCUCUAGUCUCGGCUUGGAAUUGGGUGCUUGCCGCUUUUACGAGCGGCUCACCUUAAAUGUAUUAGCUGGAUCUGUCUUUGAGACUAGGUUUGACUUGGCGUAAUAAGUAUUUCGCUAAGGACAUUCUUCGGAGUGGCCUCGUUUCUAGGACGCUUGUCCGCUUUCCAAUACAAGUUCCACCUCGUGGACAUGACUUUUUAUUAUCUGGCCUCAAAUCAGGUAGGACUACCCGCUGAACUUAAGCAUAUCAAUAAGCGGAGGA
rnacentral:misc_RNA from 1 species